rnacentral:rRNA from 1 species
GGGUUAGUAGGUUGGUCAUGCCUCUGGUAUGUACUGGUCUCACUGAUUCCUCCUUCCUGAUGAACCUUAAUGCCAUUUAUUUGGUGUUUUGGGGAAUUUGGACUGUUACUUUGCAAAACUUAGAGUGUUUAAAGCAAGCUAACGCUUGAAUACAUUAGCAUGGAAUAAUGAAAUAGGACGGUCGAGCCUAUUUUGUUGGUUUCUAGGAUUGACGUA